rnacentral:miRNA from 1 species
CUCCCGGCCCUCCUAGCCAGG